ACUGGGUAUGGUGGUGCAUGUCUGUAAUCCCAGCAGCUUCGGAGGCUGAGACAGGAGGAUCGCGGGUUCACAGCCAGCCUCAGCAAAGGCGAGGUGCUAAACAACUCAGUGAGACCCUGUCUCUA
rnacentral:sRNA from 1 species